AAAAUUCAUCAUCCUUCUCAUCUCUCUUUCGGCUCUCUCUAUGCUACUCUCUCCCUCUCUGUAAAAUUUCACAGCUUCUCUACUCCCUCCGAUCAGCCACCGUGAUAGUUCCAAUCACUCCUCCGUGAAGCAUGUAGUACCCUCCACCAAUUCAAGCUUUCAAUUCCUCCUAUUUCCUCUUAAUUUUGGAGCUCAAGUUGAAAACCACCUCCACUUAGCUUUGCAAAUUAGUUAAAAUUAGAGGUGAACCGAGUGCGAGCUCAAGUGAUAGGGGAAAGGGGCCGAUGCAGGGUUAAGUAAACAAGUAGAAGAGUUUUGUUGGCGUGUACAGAGUAUAGAAGCGAGUGAUCUCGCUCGUGGGCAGCUGCACGUGUCAAGUCACUACCCUCCUUUUUGCUGGUACAGUUGGAGUUCUCACGUGGCAUGCUUAGGAUAACUUUUGAUUGUAUAUAGUUGGUUUAGAGAUGUAAGGUUUUGAAACCUUCUUUUGCUAAGGGUUGUAAAUAAGUAUCAAAAUCGGUUAAUAUUACUUUUGUCAUGUAUAGUAGAAAAAGGCUGUUUUAACA